rnacentral:rRNA from 1 species
CCUACGGGAGGCAGCAGUGGGGAAUAUUGAACAAUGGGCGAAAGCCUGAUCCAGCCAUGCCGCGUGUGUGAAGAAGGUCUUCGGAUUGUAAAGCACUUUAAGUUGGGAGGAAGGGUUGUAGAUUAAUACUCUGCAAUUUUGACGUUACCGACAGAAUAAGCACCGGCUAACUCUGUGCCAGCAGCCGCGGUAAU